rnacentral:rRNA from 1 species
UACGGAGGGUCCAAGCGUUAUCCGGAAUCAUUGGGUUUAAAGGGUCCGUAGGCGGUUUUGUAAGUCAGUGGUGAAAGCCCAUCGCUCAACGGUGGAACGGCCAUUGAUACUGCAAGACUUGAAUUAUUAGGAAGUAACUAGAAUAUGUAGUGUAGCGGUGAAUUGCUUAGAUAUUACAUGGAAUACCAAUUGCGAAGGCAGGUUACUACUAAUGGAUUGACGCUGAUGGACGAAAGCGUGGGGAGCGAACAGG